GGGGCUGUAGCUCAGUGGCAGAGCACUUGCCUUGCACGUGUGAGGCCCUGGGUUCCAUCCUCGGCACCACCU
rfam:Ictidomys tridecemlineatus contig007561, whole genome shotgun sequence.